rnacentral:tRNA from 1 species
UUGUGAUUAGCUCAGCUGGGAGAGCACCUCCCUUACAAGGAGGGGGUCGGCGGUUCGAUCCCGUCAUCACCCACCA